rnacentral:rRNA from 1 species
GAUGAACGCUGGCGGCGUGCCUAAUACAUGCAAGUCGAGCGAAGCGGGGACGGGCGAGGAACACGAGGAUAUACCACUAUAAGACUGGGAUAAGUUCGGGAAGCCGGAGCUAAACCGGAAACUUAUAGAUGGAUACGCGCUGCAUUAGCUAGUUGGUAAGGUAACGGCUCACCAAGGCAACGAUUCAUAGCCGAUCUGAGCGGGUGGUCGGCCACACUGGAUCUGAGACACGGUCCAGACUCCUACGCUAGGCAGCAGUGGAGAAUCUUACGCAAUGGGCGAAGGCCUGGCGGGACCACGCCGCGUGGGUGGUGGAAGUCUUCGCAUCGUAAUUCUCUGUUAUUAUGGAAGCGGUACCUAAUCAGAAAGCAACGGCUAACUCCGUGCCAGCAGCCGCGGUAAUAC